AGCUGCCUUGGAUAUGAUAAAUUCCUAAAAAGGGCAAAGUCCAUGGGCACGUCGGAACCGCGCGAGUUCACCGGAGUGGAGCACGGUCCGCCAAAGCUUAAUUUGAUUUGAACUAAAAGUAAAGUCUUUAGUUUCUUGAGUUCUGAACUAUUGCGGAUACUAAGUAGCAGUCAAAAAUUUGUAUCCAGGCGGCGGCGGGCGCGGGAGGAAAAAACCUAAGAGCGUUUUUUUGUUGAUCUAUUCCUCUUCACGUGCCACUUAUCUUAACACAACUUGGGCUUUAUGGAUAUUAAAUCUGAAAUAAUCAAUAUAUUUAAGUAUAUAAAUUUGAUUCAGAUACUUGAAAUUUUUCGGUUCGAAUCAGAUUUGAUUUUGAUUCUCUAGAUAUCAAAGUUUUGAACCCAUUCGGAUGGAUUCGAUAUUACUUUUUUCGAUCGGAUUUGGAUUUUUGCCCAAACCCUAGCUAUAAUAAUGUUAAUUUGUUAAGUUAUUUGUAUCAAAACUGUUACGAGUAGUUUAGUCAUAUUAAUAAAGCUAGUCAUAAUUCCGCAUUAUUUCUACACAUUGAUUUUUUUUAUUAACUAGUGGUAUCCCGAACAUGCAGAAGGAUUCAGACUAAUUUUCUUGGGGAUGUGCAGUCCACGAAUAGAAAUAUGAGUUAUAAGCAAUGGAGUGUUUUCGGAUGACUACAUAAUGGAAUGUACUGGAGUGCCUUCGGAUGACUACAUAAUGGAACGGAUUGGAGUUUAUUAAAAUCCAAAUUACUUAGCAGUCCAAAGGCCAGACUACCACUAAACCAUCAUCACAUGGUUUACAUAUUUGAUUUUCACUACCGGAUGUAAACAACUUCAAAGCUACUCAUAUAAAUAUGAUAUAUUCAAUUUAACAAAUAAUUCUGAAAGUUUGAUAUAAUAUCGUGUUUAUAAAAAAAAAAAUAGAUAUUUCAUUUUUUUGUCAACAAAUUUGAUAUUACAUUUAAACACAAGAAGUUGACAAAAAAGUUAAAAUUUUAAACACAAAAAUAUUUUAUUUUUUGAAAGAUUUUUUUUAACUGGGUAAAUUUGUGUAUAAGUCAUUGGAAUAAACACAAUUACAUAAAUAACCAUAAUCAUAAGAUGUGACAAAUAUGCAGAUAAAAUAUAUUUUCUUUUUUCACCUCAAGUGGACGUAUGAAAGAUAAGUUACUGAGCUCUAUUUUGUUAUGUAAUACUCUUUCCGUUUCAAUAUAGAUGAUGUUUUGGAAAAUAUUUUUUAUUUCAUAAUAUAAGAUAUUUGCACAAAUCUAGAUAAUUUAAAUUUAUCAAAAACUGCGUAGCUAGUCAAUUAUGUUUUUAUUAUUUCUAUUUGUAACUAGAUAAAUUAGUUUUAAAUUAUAUUUUAGUAAUAUUUUGAUAAAAAAAAUAUUUUUUUUUAACAUACGUGCAUGGAAACAAAAACACCAUGUAAUAUGAAACAAAUAGAAUACUAUUCUGUUUCUUGUGUAUAAAUAGAACAUUUUAUAUAACUAUAGAGUACAAUAAAUCAAAAAAAGAGAUUUGUAUAGUUAUAUUUAUAUUAUAUUUACUAAAUGAAUAGAAGAUAAAAAAAUAGAAUCUCAUUUGAAAAUGAAUCUAAAUUCUAUUAUAUAAAUGUAUAAUAUAAUAUAGAUUUUAAACUCCGUUUAUGUAAUAUAUGUCUGAUUUAAGUUUUCAAAACAUAUAUUAUGUAUAAAAAUUCUAUAUACUUUUCAUGUAAACUAUGAAAUUACAUAACCGUAUUUUUUAAAGUUAAAGUUGAUUAAGAGGAAAAAAAAAUAUUUUGUAGUAACUAGGAAAACAUCAAAGUAGGUGUAUAUGUAUAUAAUAGGAGGCAAAAUGAUAAUUAAUACACAUUAUAGAUAGUACAUUAUAGUAUAUAGAUUAAUAUGGCUAUUUGAUAAAUUAUAGUUUUUUUUGUAAUAGGGUCAAAUUUCCUAUUCAACAAAUCAUUUAAAAUUAUCGACUUAUUUCACUUUGGCUUCAAUUGGUGACCACAGUUUAUGAACAAAAUAUCGGUGAAAUUUUUAUUCUUCAAUUUUUAUACCAAUCAUGUUAAAUUUUUUGAUUAGAUAUAUAAACUCUAUUCCUCUUAUUUCCUCUAGGAUGAAAAAAAUUAUGAAAAAGAAUUCCUUCUCCAAUUUGGAUGAGAAAUGAAUUGAACAUAAAUUCCUAUAUUUAUGUUUUUUCUCAUUUCCUCACUGAAUUUUUGUUCAUUAUUUUAUUUAUUUUCUGUUCAAUUAAAUGGUCACUAGUUGAAGCCGUCUACUCGUGGUCAAAAUUUCCUUCUCUUAACAUCUUGUUGAUAUUUUAUAACUGGAAGUAAAUCACCUGACAUCUUAUAUACUUUGACCAAAAAAAAAAACAAAUAGUCAAACAUGUAAUAAAAAGGAUUGUUACUUAAAAUUUACUGACCUUUCCGUUAAUAAUACACGACUUGAAGUUUUGUUCAGGUCUUCUCUCGUUCGUAUCCCAUUCUCUUGUUUCUUCACACCAAUGAAGCACAAAGCCUCGAAGAGACUAUCAUUGACAUGGGUUUCACUUCUCUGCAUUUCCUGCUUUUUCCUCGGAGUAACCUUCACGUCCAGGUUUCUUGGUUUUUAUUGAGAUUUUUUGAGUUUUCUCUCCAUUAAUCUUUACCAUUAUAAAAUCACGUCUUCUUGCAUUUAGAUAUUCAAUUGUUAUUCAGUUUUUAUUUUGUUUGUAUUUUCAGAGAUUUCGUGGGUCAGAUGAUUACGGUCAUGAGAAAGUAUUCUUUUAAAACUUUUAUCUGAUUGUCUGAAUCUGUAUUCGUAAUAUGAAUAGUUUCGAAUGUUAUUAUUGUUUUUUAAAAGCUCGUAUUUAUAAUCUUUGAAUUUCGCCAAAAUGCAGGAAAAAUCACAUGAAAAAGAUGUAACUGAAGAGGUUCUGAAAAUCCAUAAAGCAAUAGAGUGAGUGUUGUAAUAAUAAUAAUAAUAAUAAUAAUAAUUAAAUGUUUUUUGUGUGUGUGUGUAAAUCUUUCACUUGCAUGUUAAAAAUAGUUUGAUGAUCGUAUGUCUUGUGUCCACAGAGCACUGGGUAAGUCAGUUGCUAUGCUUCAGAAGCAGCUCUCUGUUAGACACAGCUAUCAACAGAUUGUGGGUGUCUCAACAACAAAUACUUCAACAGGAGGGAACCAAACGUCGAAAGUUUUCAUGGUGAUUGGUGUCAAUACUGCAUUUAGCAGUAGACAACGUCGUGAUUCGCUUAGAGAGACUUGGAUGCCUCAGGGUUACAUUUUGUGAUGUCCCUCUUUCAAAUCUCUUGUUCUUUUCAUGCUUCAUUGUCUCUAAACUUAGUUACCUUUUUAACGUAUAUAUCUAUCACAGGGGAAAAGCUUGAGAAACUGGAAAAAGAGAAGGGAAUUGUCGUCAAGUUCAUGAUCGGACACAGGUUAAUUCAUGGAAUAGUAAGAGAAGGCAAUGUAGUCUAAUGCUUUUUUAUUAUUAGAGUGAAAAUCUUACUUGAGUGUAUGUACAAAACUUGUUGGCAGUGCGACACCACAUAGUAUAUUGGAUAAGGAAAUUGAUUCAGAAGAUGCUCAAUACAAAGAUUUUUUUAGGCUGGUGAGAUUCAUUAGACAUCUUUAUUUUUUUCUAGGAUUGGUUUACGUACAGUGUUUCUUGAUAUUUUUUUUGGUUUCUUUGCUCGUUGCAGGAUCAUGUUGAAGGAUAUUAUAAUUUGUCUGCCAAAACCAAAACCUUCUUUUCCAGUGCGGUUGCAACGUGGGAUGCUGAGUUUUACGUUAAGAUUGAUGAUGAUGUUCAUGUCAACCUUGGUAACAAACUAUUUCUACCAUGUUUUUUUUUAUUUCUUUUCUCUUUGAAUUAAAUUGUUGAAUAUCUUUCUUUGAGGUUUUAGGUAUGCUUGGUUCCACAUUAGCUCUUCACCGUCAUAAGCCGAGGGUUUACAUUGGAUGUAUGAAGUCCGGACCUGUUCUUACUAAAAAGUAAUAAUCUCGUUUUUCUCUUACAAUUUUAUAUAUCAUCUAUUUGGAUGUUAAAGCAGAUUUUUUUUUUUUUUUUUUAAACAUGCAGGACGGCCAAGUAUCGUGAACCCGAGUUUUGGAAAUUUGGAGAAGAAGGUAACAAAUAUUUUCGACAUGCUACAGGACAAAUCUAUGCCAUCUCAAAGGAUCUUGCUACAUACAUAUCUAACAAUCAGUAAGUGACUAAGUAUGUGUUCUUGAAUUAUCAAGAAAUGAAAAAAUAUGUUUUACCAAGGGAAAUGGUUACUAUCCAAGCACAUAUAUAUAUUACAUUUGAUUUGAUGUUUUACUUUGCAGGCCAAUUUUGCACAAGUAUGCAAAUGAAGAUGUGACGCUGGGGUCAUGGUUCAUCGGGCUUGAGGUUGAGCAUAUCGAUGAUGGUAAUUUCUGUUGUAGUACUCCAGGUAAUCAGCUAUAUAUAUUUUUGUAUGCUUCAGAAGUUAGUAAAUAAUGUUUUUCUCAUGUAGUUUCUCUUUUUCUUUUGUUUCUUUCUUUAUCUCUUUCCAAAAGAUUGUGAAAUGAAGGCGGAUGCUGGAGAAGUGUGUGUGGCGUCAUUUGACUGGACGUGCAGUGGGGUAUGCAAAUCAGUCAACAGAAUGUGGAUGGUUCAUAUGAUCUGUGGUGAAGAUGAUAAAGCUGUGUGGGAUGCAAAUUAUUACUCUCUUAGAUAAGAGAAAGAGACAAGAGGAGAUGACCAUUUUGUUUUGUAAAGAAACAAAAGGAAUACAAAUCCCCUGAGCAAGACCUUUUAGUUCAAUUUUUUUUUUCAAAAACAAAUGUGGAAAAAUAAAAAGAAAGACAAAUGAUGAAACUUUUGAUUUUAUAGAGGCAUGCGUGGAAACAUUGAUUAUCAAAAAGUCAUGACUAAGAUGAAAAAAAAAUCUAUUCUUAACUGUGAUAGUUGAAAAUUCAGUUUAGAAACUUGGCGUUUUAUCUAUAGAAACAAAGAGCAUCAGCAGCGGUAGCAUGGACAGAGUCUUUCAUCAUUAAAUUAAUAAAUUAAUUAAACAAAAAAUGAGAAAAGAGACAAAAGUAGAGGGACGUCCCUUCUUCAAGAAAAGUUCGGGAUAUAUGAGAGACGUCCCGGAAAACGCUCCAUCUUCUCUUUUCUCCAAGAACUUUCAGGCUUUCAGAUUUGCAGCUCCGGCGGCUUCCGUCGGAGCUGUGCUUUCAUGUUUGUAAAUUUUCUCAGUGUGGUUAUUUUAAGAUCCGUCUGGUAUCUGUUUUUUUUUUCCUUUUUUUUCUAUCUCAGUUGUAGCUAUCUGCUUGUGUUAAAGGUGUAAUUCUUUAGGUGUUGAGGAGAUCCUUCAGUAGUCUCUAAGAUGUGGUGUGGUUUGAUUUCUUCAUCGCUGCGGAGGCUCGCUUGAUUGAUUUGACCAAAUCUGUAUUUUUUUCUGGUGUACGGUUGCUGGUUGAUGCCGUCUCUGAUGUUCUGGCCAUUCGAAGGAGCUCCUCUUUUGUAGUGUUGUGUCCUUACCAGAUUUCUUUCUGGUUUCGGAUUGUGUCUCCCCAUGGUUGGGGCUGUUGUUUUUGGGAAAAGGUGGUUCACAUAACACCAUUUUCGCCGGCUUUUGUCUCCAGGAAGAGGUGAUUCCUUUACACCGUCUUCGCUGGCGUAUCACCGGUUUUAUUCUAACCUUGGCGGUUCUAUGAUUCUCGCUGUCCUAUGAGCUAUCACCUCUUGUUCUGAUUUCAGAGCCUUGGAUUCAAUCCUUCUUCUCCAGUUUGGCUUCGCUAAUGGCGGAGAUCCGGCAUGCAUGCUCUCUGUCUCCGGAGGAAGCUCAUGCCUUCCGGUCUGACGGGUGUUUCACGUGGUGGGAGGAGCUGGUAUCUUUCUCAUUGUCUCUUGUAUGGGCUUUAGCCCCGGUUAAUUUGAAUGUUUUUCUGGUUUGAGCUAUGUUUGGCCUUUAUGUUUGAUGUAAAUGUUGGGUUUUAGUCCUUUAAUAAAAUACUAGAUGACAAAAAAUAAUAAUAUGAGAGACGUC